UGCCAGCAGCCGCGGUAAUACGGAGGGGGCUAGCGUUGUUCGGAAUUACUGGGCGUAAAGCGCACGUAGGCGGACUAUUAAGUCAGGGGUGAAAUCCCGGGGCUCAACCCCGGAACUGCCUCUGAUACUGGUAGUCUUGAGUUCGAGAGAGGUGAGUGGAAUUCCGAGUGUAGAGGUGAAAUUCGUAGAUAUUCGGAGGAACACCAGUGGCGAAGGCGGCUUUCUGGACCAAUACUGACGCUGAGGUGCGAAAGCGUGGGGAGCAAACAGGAUUAGAUA
rnacentral:rRNA from 1 species